rnacentral:rRNA from 1 species
CACGUAGGGGGCAAGCGUUGUCCGGAUUUAUUGGGCGUAAAGAGCUCGUAGGUGGUUCGGUAAGUCGGGUGUUAAACCCCCAGGCUCAACCUGGGGACGCCACUCGAUACUGCUGUGACUAGAGUCCGGUAGGGGAGCGUGGAAUUCCUGGUGUAGCGGUGAAAUGCGCAGAUAUCAGGAGGAACACCAGCGGCGAAGGCGGCGCUCUGGGCCGGUACUGACACUGAGGAGCGAAAGCGUGGGCAGCAAACAGG